UUGCUUGUUUUCUUGGAUGCAAAACCUGAUGUGGGUAAGUGGUCUCUUAUGACCUCUUGUUUACCCUACCUAAGCGUUCUUGUUCUUUGAAACGACUGUUUGGUUAUGCGUUGACACGCUCAUGCUUGGCCAACGAC
rnacentral:misc_RNA from 1 species